AUGGGAGAGAUUCAGGUAGAUUUGAACUGUCAUCAUCAAUCAAGACCAAGGAGAAGGCUGCUUUCCAGGAUGUACACAUGGCCUCUGUUUGCUGUUGCUGUUUUGCUUCUUUUAAGAGGUGAACCAAUAUAUGUAUGUCUGUUUCUACUGUCACUUGCAGCUCAACAGAACCCUGUAAUAUACAUGAACAAGUUUCUGGAAGUUAAGAGGUAAGUAACUGCUCAUGUCAUAUUCUCUUUCUUAGAGUUCUGGAAUCAGGAGAACAUCUAUCAUGGAGCAAAUACACUUCCAUUCAAAUUGGAGUUAGCAUAUAACAUAUACAUUAUAUGAAGCAAUAAACAAUUAUUUUAUAUGGCAAUAGUCUAAAUAUAACAUGGCUCUGCAUUUUGGGGCAUGCCAAAAUAUAUAAAAUCCAUGAUAAAUUCUCAGCUCUCCUGAAUCUUCCCAUGAUACCACUAAGAAUUUCAUAACCCAAAGACCAAGAUAGAAAAUAUGUUUUCUCAGAGACUAGGGUCACCCCAGAGUAAAACUUUAAGUGCAGAUUACCUCAGAUCCCUGCAAAACUGAUCUGCCUCUGAGAAAAGAACUAGCCAAAAUAUUCUUUUUGAUGACAGGGUUGAAGUUCGGGAUAGAAAUGUAAAUGUGUUCGGACAUACUGAGAAAUAAAUCACAUUGAAGAGAUGGAGAAAGGAGUUGCUGGAGAGGCAAAAUGAAAAGGCAGAUGCUAAGGAACUGCACAAAAAGAAAAAAUGUAUCCUAAUUGGGGCAGUGUGAACUUGUCAGACAGGGAAGAAGCAUGAAGUCAUAAAUUGCUUAGAGAAUUAUAGCAGUACCUUGACAUAGUAGGAAAAAGAAAGCUUAUGUGUACUCAAGAUCUGAAUUCAAGUUCUGGCUCUAUCUCUUACUGGAUGUGAGAUGCUGGACAAGGUCCUUCUCUAUUUCAAUUCUGUCAUUCAAAUCUAUGAAUUCAAAAAUUUGAAUUAACCACCAAAGCCCCCUUUGGCUGUCAAUUUUAAUCUGCAGUGACAUCCUGGUGGGUUGAAAUUUAAGACAGUCAUUAAUGGAUAAUAAACAAAGACCAUUUGUGUAGGAGUUUACCCCAUGUGUAUGGGUCUUAUUCUUAGUAAUUUGGGAAAAUAUAGAAUGUGAAUGGGGCAAUCUUGAAUUGUGAGGAGGAGCUCAUUUUAUCAGGCAAGAUCCCGAUUUUCAAAUCGGUACCUGAAUGUUGCUUAUUUGAUUAAACUCUGGUAUACAGAAAGCAUUAGCUUCAGCAUUAUGCCUCUACUACAUAGGAGAAGAACUAAAUUAGAAGGAAAUAGAUGUUUGACUGACUUAGAGAAAUAUUGAAAGAGUGGAUUGAUGAUGCUUUCCAGGACCAUUUAAUUUGACUGAUAUAAUAAAAAUCUUGGCAGUAAUGAGAGUCUUCUGAAUUAAAACCAGCCACGUUUUCUCAUUAAUAUAUUACUAUUGGUGAAAUUUUGUUUUAGAUGGUCUUCCAAAGCAGGAAAUAUUUCCAAAAUAAUUAAUUAUCACAGGCCAGGCGUGGUGAUUCAUGCCUGUAAUCCUGGCACUUUGGGAGGCCAAGGCGGGUGGAUCACUUGAGGUCAGGGGUUCGAGACCAGCCUGACCAACAUGGUGAAAGCCAGUCUCUACUAAAAAUACAAAAAUUAGCUGGGUGUGGUGGGUUAUGCCUGUAAUCCCAGCUACUUGGGAGGCUGAGACAGGAGAAUCACUUGAACCCGGGAGGCGGAGGUUGCAGUGAACCGAGAUUGCGACAUUGCAUUCCAGCCUGGGCAACAGGAAUGAAACUCCAUCUCAGUUAAAAAAAUAUAUAUAUCACAAAAGGUGGAAGAUGGGAUUGGUUCUCUUCACUCAUUUUUUCAAGCAAGAGACUUCUCAACUGUGUAUAUUUGUAUAU
rnacentral:lncRNA from 1 species